rnacentral:lncRNA from 1 species
AGCGCUUUCGGCGCCAUUUUCGAGUGAUGCCUGAUCUCAUCAAUCUAGCGGGAGAGACAGGAUAACCUGUCCGAGAGUAUAGCGCCACUAUGACUCCGCCGGAAAAAUUACUUUAAAAAUCGCCAAAAAUUACUUGGAGCAAAGGGCAGUCGGCGGAGCUUCGCCAAGGCUGGCGCAGUCGGUUUUGACCUGUAGCAGAGAACCAAUUCUGGAGAACAGCCUCACUUCUUUGAUUGAAUACUUACAUAAUGCAUUGGAACAUGACAUGAGAUUAAGGUUUAAUAAUGAUAGAAUGAAGACCACAAUAAAAGAGACCUCUACUUAGCUCAGCAAUUCUUACCUUUCUUACCUAUUUGAUGAAGAUGUCUUUUGAAAGGUGUACUGCAAGGAACAAAAUGUUUGUAAAUUCUCCUUUUACCAAGGUGGAUAAUUACUGUACCUUCCUCAUGGAAAAAGUUUUAUUUAAAGUGUUAUUUCUCAUUGAAUACUAUCAAAAAGGAAAAAAAAAUGACCUAAACUUUUGAGAUAGAUUUGGCUCUAGGCCUACUCUAGGUGCGGUACUUCACUAUAGUUUAUAAAAGAUGGUCCCUGUCAGCAAAGAACUGUAACCUGUAUGAGAAUAUUAUACUAACAUACAAGAAACAAGUAGAGAAUAAUGGAAUGUAAACUCUGGCUUGCUAACUUAAGUGUGGUAGAAGCUUGAAGGAAAUGUGGACUUAAACUUAUCAGAGAAGACUUAUAAGAGGAUAUGAAAGGUGUAAAUUUUGAUACCACCAUUGCCGCCUUCCCCUCAAAAAAGGUGAGAACUGACUAAACUACUGGUACUUAGACCAUGUGGAGAAGGAACUGAAAAUGGAAACAGAAACACGUCUGUACAGAGCAGAGUGUCAGAUAAUAGCUCAUUUUAGUAGAGGGCAAUAAAUGCCACAUGAGAUGAUCACCUCAGCAGAAAACUGUAAGUAACUGGGGACUUACAGGAGAAUUGAACAGUUGUUUCUGCUGACUCAGUAAAAAGUCUUCAUUUUAUAAUUUGUGGCCUGCAUGCUUGUAAAUUAAAAUGCAUUGAGUUGUC